ACUGGCAGGCUGGAGACAAUAAUUCUUACAGCUAAAAGUUUUUAGAGUCAGACCAGAUGGGACAGACUUGUAAUCCCAGUUUCCACCCAUACUUUCUUCCAAAUAUCCUGAGGAUGACCCAGACUACUGCGUAUGGGUCCCACCUGAAGGUCAAAGUGGAGAUGGCAGAACGCAUCUUAAUGACAAGUAUGGCUAUUGAUUGGUUCAGAGUCCCAGAGGAAGACCUUGUGGGCCACAGGAUGUCUGGGAGAAGGCAUCAAGUCUGACCCGGGAAGUUCAGACGGCCAUUUGUAAAAUCUGGUGACUGGCUUUUUCUUCUGUACCCCUGACUUCCUAAACUCACCUGCCCAUUGGAUUCUCCUGGAUUUCAGUGUUUAUAUUUAAGUGUCUGUGUAUAUAUGUAAAAAAGAACCAUGCACACUGAGAAUAAAGUAAGAGACAUGACCCAUGAUGAAC
rnacentral:lncRNA from 1 species